rnacentral:lncRNA from 1 species
AUGACGGGGUGUCGCAUGCGGAGUGCUCUCAUGUAUCUCCCUCGUUCAGCGCGCGGCAGGCGCCGUGCCGGGCACUGGCUACAAAUCCCGGCACGACCCCCCGGGGUGCCAAGUCCCGCCCCAGACCGCUCUACUGUGUGCUUAGUCCUGCCCCAAGCCCCCGAGUUGGCAGUCGCCGCCCUCCCCACUGGUUCCUUUUCAUCCAUCCACGCCUCGGCUCCGGCGUCAGGCCUGAGGGCUCCUCGCUCUAAAGCAGCGUCCCCCGCCCCCGCCGCGUCCCUCCCCGAGUCUGCCUCUCGCCCUGCACGGAGGGUGUGCGAGGCCGCGCUUGCGCCGAGGCCAGCGCCUGGAACCCAGCGAGCGCUCGACGGACGCCGAGUGAACGGACGCAGGCCUGCGCGAGGGGCCGGGCGGCACGGAGGCCGCGGGCCGCGCUCGAAAGCGGGACCGCGGCCCAGCAGGCGCGUCGCAGGAGCUGCAGACGCCGGCGCGGUGACCGCUCGGUGUGGGCCGCCCGGAGCUCUCGGGCGGGCGGACGCCGCCUCUCCUGCCGCGCCGCUGCCCGGCCCCGCUCCGGGUCUCGGUUUCCCCACGUCCCUGCCGGCGCCUCACCUGGGGCGGCAGCAGGCGCGGCGGGCGCGGGGGCUGGGCGCCGGGGCCCCGCUGCAAGGCGGCCUGCUGCGCCGCGUCCCGCAGCCGUCGCGCCGCGUCCUGCGGGACGAAGGGCGGCGGCGGCGGCCGUUCGGCCGGCGGCUGCGCCUUCGUCACCUGCUCCAGGACCCGCCGCAGCUGCUCGGCGUCCAGCGGGGCCACGCGCGAGGCGCUGCCGCCGGGGACGGGGGGAGCCUGGCCGCCCCCGCCCCCAUCCUCGCUGCCGUCCUCGGCCUCCGGCUCCGCGUCCGCCAUGGCCGCCGAGACCGGGACUCGAACCCGCGUCGCCGAGCGACGGCGGCUCAAAUGUGUCGCUCCUCCAGGAGCUAUCCAGGGCUUCCCAGGCGGAGGUCUCCGGAGUUCCAGAGCCCCUUAGCCUGUCCAAAAGUUCACACUAUCCAAAAGUUCUCGACGUCAUGUGCACUAGAGUGCAUUAGUCCCACGUUCUGCUUAAUAUAG